rnacentral:rRNA from 1 species
UACGUAGGGUCCAAGCGUUGUCCGGAUUUAUUGGGCGUAAAGAGCUCGUAGGCGGUUUGGAUAGUCGGGUGUGAAACUCCGAGCUCAACUCGGAGACGCCACCCGAUACUGCCAUGACUAGAGUCCGGUAGGGAGCAGGGAAUUCCUGGUGUAGCGGUGAAUGCGCAGAUAUCAGGAGGAACACCGGUGGCGAAGGCGCUGCUCGUGGCCGGUACUGACGCUGAGGAGCGAAAGCGUGGGUAGCAAACAGG